GGUCCUGGAAGGGGAAACUGAGGCACGGAACCCUCCCCUUGUCAUGGUGGGGGGAAACUGAGGCACGGAACCCUCCCCCCUCAGUGUCAGCCGGAGGGUCCUGGAAGGGGAAACUGAGGCACGGAACCCUCCCCUUAUCACGAGGGGGGGAAACUGAGGCAUGGACACCCCCCCCCCUCAGUGACAGCCAGAGGGGGAAACUGAGGCACGGAACCCUCCCCUUGUCCCCUAGAGGGGGGAAAACUGAGGCACGGACACCCCUCAGUGUCACCCGGAGGGUCCUGGAGGGGGAAACUGAGGCACGGACUCCCCUCAGUGUCACCCGGAGGGUCCUGGAGGGGGAAACUGAGGCACGGGCCUUUCCAACCCUCCCCCGGGGUCGUCCCCGACAUUGUGGGGUGCGGCCCUGGGGGUGCCUUUGGCUCUUUAAAAGGAGGAUUCCCUAGAGUUCAGCCCAGGACAGCCCGGUUUUUUCGGAGAAGGAGGGAUUUUAGGAACGAUCCCACCUCCCAGAGCCUCCCCGGGGUGGAAUUUGAGGGCCCCUCGGGCUCACCUUGUGACAAUCCAGAGCGUGUGGAGAAUCUCAGAGCAGCAUCCCCGGAGUUCUCCACAGGCUCUCCCAGCGCCGCCAAAGCUCCUUGGCAUGGAGACCGCCAACCCCUCAGAGCACCCCGAACCCUUCGGAAUCCCUCAGCAUCCCGAGGCCCCUUAGUGACCCUCCAAAACCCCUCAGGCAGCCCAGCCCUUUCUUUUUCCUUCCUCCUGCCCUUUUUCACCUUUUCUGCCCGUUUUCCUCUCACGUUUUCUGCCGCCUCCCCCCUCCCGUUCCCCUCCCUUCCCUCCCCUCACGUUUCCCGCCUUUUUCCCCCCCUCACGUUUCUCGCUCUUUUCUUCCUCGAUUUAAACAAUAAAAUAACGGCAUUAUAAGGUUCUCUCCCAAUUUAGAACCCUAAAAGAGGGUCUUCCCUCAACUUAAACCCUAAAAAUAGUGAAAGAAGGGGGAUUUUCCCUCAAUCUUGUCAGCAACU
rnacentral:lncRNA from 1 species